rfam:Streptomyces zinciresistens K42 contig00016, whole genome shotgun sequence.
CGCUCAUCCAGAGGGGCAGAGGGACACGGCCCGUUGAAGCCCCGGCAACCCUCCAGCCGGUCUCGUAGAUCAGUGUUGAUCAUUCCGCGAGGCUCCCGGCUAGGGAAGGUGCCAAAUCCGUCUCACGGCGAGAUGCGUCGUGAGGAAGAUGAGGA